AUUGAACGCUGGCGGAAUGCUUUACACAUGCAAGUCGAACGGCAGCACGGGGCAACCUGGUGGCGAGUGGCGAACGGGUGAGUAAUACAUCGGAACGUGCCCAAUCGUGGGGGAUAACGUAGCGAAAGUUACGCUAAUACCGCAUACGAUCUACGGAUGAAAGCGGGGGAUCGCAAGACCUCGCGCGAAUGGAGCGGCCGAUGUCAGAUUAGGUAGUUGGUGGGGUAAAGGCUCACCAAGCCAACGAUCUGUAGCUGGUCUGAGAGGACGACCAGCCACACUGGAACUGAGACACGGUCCAGACUCCUACGGGAGGCAGCAGUGGGGAAUUUUGGACAAUGGGCGCAAGCCUGAUCCAGCCAUUCCGCGUGCAGGAUGAAGGCCUUCGGGUUGUAAACUGCUUUUGUACGGAACGAAAAGACUCUUUCUAAUAAAGAGGGUCCAUGACGGUACCGUAAGAAUAAGCACCGGCUAACUACGUG
rnacentral:rRNA from 1 species